CCAACACUGGGACUGAGACACUGCCCAGACUUCUACGGAAGGCUGCAGUCGAGAAUCUUUCGCAAUGGACGAAAGUCUGACGAAGCGACGCCGCGUGUGUGAUGAAGGCUCUAGGGUUGUAAAGCCUUUCGCUUGGGAAUAAGAAAGAUUGGCUAAUAUCCAUCGAUUUGAGCGUACCAGGUAAAGAAGCACCGGCUAACU
rnacentral:rRNA from 1 species